CCUACGGGCGGCUGCAGUGGGGAAUAUUGGACAAUGGGCGAAAGCCUGAUCCAGCCAUGCCGCGUGUGUGAAGAAGGCCUUCGGGUUGUAAAGCACUUUCAGUGGGGAAGAAAGCCUUGGGGCUAAUACCCUCGAGGAAGGACAUCACCCACAGAAGAAGCACCGGCUAACUCCGUGCCAGCAGCCGCGGUAAUACGGAGGGUGCGAGCGUUAAUCGGAAUUACUGGGCGUAAAGCGCGCGUAGGCGGUCUGAUAAGCCGGUUGUGAAAGCCCCGGGCUCAACCUGGGAACGGCAUCCGGAACUGGCAGGCUAGAGUGCAGGAGAGGAAGGUAGAAUUCCCGGUGUAGCGGUGAAAUGCGUAGAGAUCGGGAGGAAUACCAGUGGCGAAGGCGGCCUUCUGGACUGACACUGACGCUAAGGUGCGAAAGCGUGGGUAGCAAACAGGAUUAGAUACCCCAGUAGUC
rnacentral:rRNA from 1 species